rnacentral:rRNA from 1 species
AUUGAACGCUGGCGGCAGGCCUAACACAUGCAAGUCGAGCGGGGUUUUCGGACCUAGCGGCGGACGGGUGAGUAAUGCGUAGGAAGCUACCCGAUAGAGGGGGAUACCAGUUGGAAACGACUGUUAAUACCGCAUAAUGUCUACGGACCAAAGUGUGGGACCUUCGGGCCACAUGCUAUCGGAUGCGCCUACGUGGGAUUAGCUAGUUGGUGGGGAAAUAGCUCACCAAGGCGACGAUCCCUAGCUGGGUUGAGAGGAUGAUCAGCCACACUGGAACUGAGACACGGUCCAGACUCCUACGGGAGGCAGCAGUGGGGAAUAUUGGACAAUGGGCGCAAGCCUGAUCCAGCCAUGCCGCGUGUGUGAAGAAGGCCUUCGGGUUGUAAAGCACUUUCAGUAGGGAGGAAGCGUUGUGUGUUAAUAGUACACAGCGUUGGCGUUACCUACAGAAGAAGCACCGGCUAACUCUGUGCCAGCAGCCGCCGUAACAC